rnacentral:tRNA from 1 species
UAUAAAUUAGUUUAAUUUAAAAUAUUACUUUUGUAAAGUAAAGAUCUUUGUAGGUGAGUUAGAUUUAUAG